rnacentral:lncRNA from 1 species
UCUCUUGCUCUCUCUCUCAAAUAAAUAUAUAAAAUCGAAGAAGGAAGGAAGAAGGAAGGAAGGAAGGAAGGAAGGAAGGAAGGAAGGGAGGAAGGAAGGAAGGAAGGGAGGAAGGAAGGAAGGAAGGGAGGAAGGAAGGAAGGAAGGGAGGAAGGAAGGAAGGAAGGGAGGAAGGAAGGAAGGAAGGGAGGAAGGAAGGAAGGAAGGGAGGAAGGAAGGAAGGAAGGGAGGAAGGAAGGAAGGAAGGGAGGAAGGAAGGAAGGAAGGGAGGAAGGAAGGAAGGAAGGGAGGAAGGAAGGAAGGAAGGGAGGAAGGAAGGAAGGAAGGGAGGAAGGAAGGAAGGAAGGGAGGAAGGAAGGAAGGAAGGGAGGAAGGAAGGAAGGAAGGGAGGAAGGAAGGAAGGAAGGGAGGAAGGAAGGAAGGAAGGGAGGAAGGAAGGAAGGAAGGGAGGAAGGAAGGAAGGAAGGGAGGAAGGAAGGAAGGAAGGGAGGAAGGAAGGAAGGAAGGGAGGAAGGAAGGAAGGAAGGGAGGAAGGAAGGAAGGAAGGGAGGAGGAAGGAAGGAAGGAGGAGGAGGAGAAGUAGAAGAAAGAAGAAGAAGAAGAAGAAGAAAGAAGAAAGAAGAAAGAAGAAAGAAGAAGAAAUCCCUACUAACAAAAUCUGGGGGAAACUCAAACCCGAGGCCACCGCCUUGAGGCCUUCCAUUACAGGUUUCCAGAAAGGCAGGUCAGGUCACUCCCCUUCCCUUCCUAGAGUAGUACGUGUGUGUUGGAAAGAAGAGACGAGAUGUCCCCUUGUUCAGUGGCUCCCACACCAGACAGCAACGGAAGCAACUGAGGGGCUUGUUAACAUGCAGAUCCCUAGAUCCCACCCAGUCUGGAGAUGAAGGUCCCCAAAUCUGCUCUUGCAGAGCAGCCCCGCAGCGCAGGCGUGUUCUCAGGGCAGCAGGCCCCUGGCCAGGCUCUCUGGCUGCAGACACCAUCCUUUCCACAGACGUCUCCCUGACCCUGGCGGAAGUGUCCUUCUAGGAAAGGCCCCCCCAACCGUGUGCCUCACAGCCCCCCCCACUCCGGGACACCCCACGUCAGCCUGUGACGGGGCCAACCUGGUGUGGGACAGCCCCCCUUCCCAUCCAGUUGCCUCCCUGCCUGUGCGCCCCCUUCAC